rnacentral:rRNA from 1 species
UGGGGAAUCUUGCGCAAUGGGGGAAACCCUGACGCAGCAACGCCGUGUGAGUGACGAAGGCUUUCGGGUCGUAAAGCUCUGUCAGAUGGGAAGAAUUAGUUUGCUGAAAAUAUCGGCAAAUGAUGACGGUACCAUCAAAGGAAGCACCGGCUAACUCCGUGCCAGCAGCCGCGGUAAUACGGAGGGUGCAAGCGUUGUUCGGAAUUAUUGGGCGUAAAGCGCGUGUAGGCGGAUAGAUAAGUCAGGCGUGAAAUCCCUUGACUCAAUCAAGGAACUGCACUUGAAACUAUUUAUCUCGAGUACGAUAGGGGAGGGUGGAAUUCCCAGUGUAGAGGUGAAAUUCAUAGAUAUUGGGAGGAACACCAGUGGCGAAGGCGACCCUCUGGAUCGAUACUGACGCUGAGACGCGAAAGCGUGGGUAGCAAACAGG